GGUAUGGGAUGAGCUUGCGUCCGAUUAGCUAGUUGGCGGGGCAACGGCCCACCAAGGCGACGAUCGGUAGCCGGCCUGAGAGGGUGAUCGGCCACAUUGGGACUGAGAUACGGCCCAGACUCCUACGGGAGGCAGCAGUAGGGAAUAUUGCACAAUGGGGGAAACCCUGAUGCAGCAACGCCACGUGUGGGAAGAAGCAUUUCGGUGUGUAAACCACUGUCGUGAGGGAAUAAGGCGUCUUCUCGGAGGCGUUGAAUGUACCUCGAAAGGAAGCACCGGCAAACUUCGUGCCAGCAGCCGCGGUAAUACGAGGGGUGCAAGCGUUGUUCGGAAUCACUGGGCGUAAAGGGAGCGUAGGCGGAGAUGCAAGCGGGCUGUACAAUACCGGGGCCCAACCCCGGGCCUGCAGUUCGGACUGCACCUCUUGGAUAGUUCAGGGGCAGGC
rnacentral:rRNA from 1 species